rnacentral:rRNA from 1 species
AUUGAACGCUGGCGGCAGGCCUAACACAUGCAAGUCGAGCGGAGCGGCGGACGGGUGAGUAAUGCCUAGGAAUCUGCCUGGUAGUGGGGGGUAACGUCAGGAAACGGGCGCUAAUACCGCAUACUAUCAGAUGAGCCUAGGUCGGAUUAGCUAGUUGGUUGGGUAAAGGCCUACCAAGGCUACGAUCCGUAACUGGUCUGAGAGGAUUAUCAGUCACACUGGAACUUAGACACGGUCCAGACUCCUACGGGAGGCAGCAUUGGGGAAUCUUUGACAAUGGGCGCAAGCCUGAUCCAGCCAUGCCGCGUGUGUUAAGAAGGUCUUCCGAUUGUAAAGCACUUUAAGUUGGGAGGCGUUACCAACAGAAUAAGCACCGGCUAACUUCGUGCCAGCAGCCGCGGUAAUAC